ensembl:lncRNA
UAUCAUUUAAUGAUUUAUUGACAUUUACUUUUUUCCACCAUGGUUUCUCUUGAUACCAGUAGUACUUACCAUAAAGUUUCUUUUUCAUUUAAAUUACAUUUAUAAUGUUUUACUCACAUACACAUUUAUUGUUUAAUUUUCUUAUUGCAAUAAACAAGAGUAGCCAGAAUGAGUCAGGUAUUGCUACAAUUCGCCAUACAAAGUCUUUGUCCCUCUAAUAAUGAAAUUCAAAAAUAAAUUUAUUGGCAAGACAAAAUUACACCAUAGCCUCUCCAUCUCUCUCUCUCUGCUCUGAGAAAGACCGAGGGCAGAAUAAGGCUAAGGCUAGUAGCCUAAACACAGCUAACAUGAAAUACCUGCCCAGAAAAUAGGAAUACCAUUUAUUUCCCACAUGUGAAUGAUGAAAAUGACUCUCUGGUGUUUACCACUUUAUGAACAUAUCAAGGACAAGUGGUGCUACUUGACUGACCUACCAGGGACAUCUUUGCAGUACUUUGAUAAGGCUCGGUUAUUGGUCAACUCUGUGACUUGAAUCCAGAACGACUGAUGAAUCUCACUGUACCAAACACACGCAGGUUUUUGUCCCCAUAGUUGUGUUAGGCCACUCUAUAGAUCCAGGCUGCCUCUGUCUCUGAUUGGUGGGGAGUGGGGACAGAGCAGGUCCCAACACACACUAGAAUACUUAUAGUACACACACCAACAGGAAGAAAAGCAAGGAUGCUGGAAUAGCAUUUCACUCACAAAAUGAACUUGAAGAUUACGUUCAGCAACAAAAAGAGCACAAUGGUGGAAGCUGACACAGAGCCAGCUUCUCUUUUUAAGUAAUGGCAUUGAUAAUGUUCCUCUAGGUUUUCACUUAGACAUAUUUCUCACACACAGAAAACAAAAAACAAAAACAACAACAAAAUGCAAUUCGUUAAGUCCAAAUAAAACAAAAAACCCGUUGAACAGAUCUAGCUUUAAUCCCUUGAUACCUGGUGUUGUACCCUGUUCCCCAAGCAGAGAUUACCAUAGUAAAAAGGCCCUUUAAUAUGAAGGGUCAGUCCCUAUCUCUAGCUACACCUCUGUCUCUCCGUCCCCACCUCAAUCCCCUCAAGAAGUUGCACUCCCCAUGGAAGAACAGAAAAGUCAGUCAGCUGGCGUGCUCCCACUUUACACAUGACUCCAGACAAUAUGUCACAACAUGUCACAAUGAUAACAAGUCACUCUGAUAAAAAUUGCUCAUUGCAUUGCAAUAUUCAGACAAAGGUAAGACAUUAGAGCUCAUUGCUUCUCAAUGAAAGGGCACAGUGUACAUCUCGUUCAGAAAAGGGUGUUAGUUUCAAGCUGUCAGGCAAGAUAAGUCUGCUGCUGCUUAGCUAGUGUUUGUGGCUCCCCACCGAGUCAGUCGAUCUGCCUGUUUAUAUCAUUCUGGCUGAGUCCCUUAUAUAAUUCACUCUCUGAUAAUUUCACCCUUUUCCUUGUUUCCCUUGAUGACGUUAAUAACAUUUCCUACCUACAAAAAUAUUUUUUUUAUCAUGUUUUCUAUUUUGCUCUUUUUUUAAAAUGUGUGAUAUAAAUGUAAACCAACAGUCCAAACCAAACAAGAAAAACAAAGUGCUCACCAGUCUUUGUAAAAGAAAACAAAUCAUGGUGUGUUUCAUGGCUUUCAGUUGUAAGACAGGAAGUAUCAAUAGAUGCCUUGGGCUGGACGUCUCGGCUCCUGCUCCGGGCGGCUUCUCUGGGCUUCUGGCUUGGUUGUCGCUUCAGCUCAAGAUCAUUUGUCAAAGAAUGUAUUUGGCUUUCAACUUCCUCUAUUUAAUUUGUUGCCUUUCAGCAUCGUGGUUGCCAGUGUUGAUGUGUCUCCCACAAUAGACUCAUAUGAACCUUUGGAUAAUAGGGAGCUGAGGAGAAGGAUAGUGCAGGAAUUGGGAGAGGUCAACCCAGUGAUGCAGAACGCUGUGUAGCAUCCUGUUGUGAGGUGGCAUGGAGAAGAAAUUAGGACAAAGGGUGGUACACAAGUCAUACUUGCCCACCUACACAGACAGCCUGCGAAUGAAGACCAGGGAGAUGUGAGGAUGAUGAUUGGCUUUGAAAUAAUUCAAGCUGAAGCAUAACACCUAUUCUCUCUUUCUCUCUCCCAAGUACUUUAUUUCAAACUGCUGUUCGUAAAACUGCAGAAUUCUUUCCAUAAAAUGCAAUCAAAGCUAAAGAUGGUGAUCGAGUAUUUAAACCCGGCAGUACAAUAUGUAUUAAUGUGUGAUUUCUGCUGCUUCUUUCAUCUCCUCUCCCCUUUGGUGAGCCUAUUCUCUGACUGUUAUGGAGGUUGGCAGAUGUGGCCUGUAGCAAUUUUUGUUGGUACAAUCUAUUUUAAAACAUAUUUGUCCAGGCCUGUGUAUGUCUGCAAGUUGCCUGUGGUGAAUCCAUCCAGUGACCCGUGCCAGCCUUCCUCUCACCUCACCCUCUCAGGAAAUGACAGCAAAGAACAACCCCCCACAGUCACUUUUCUGCUCCACUCAUCCCCCCAACCAUCAGACAUGUUCAGAUGUGGCUACCACCUGCCUGUCAGCCAAAGUCAUGUUGUAUCUAGCGGAGACCUAAUGUCACAAAUUGGAGAGCUGCUGACCUCCGGCACGGAGCAGGACAUGUACAGUGCCGUUGAAGCCUGUACAGCUACAUGUGGCGCACACAGCAAAGACUGAUGGAAGCAGCUACCCUACUGACAUAACAUUAUUGUCUUUGUUUUUGAGGUGCAUAGGAUGAGAAGAACACAUUUAGCCAUGGUGACAGGUGGAAAAAACAACCUGUCCCGGAAUAAUUAUGUAACACUACAUGUGGUUGAACGUUUCUAGAAAGGUCUGCAUGUGUUUCUUCUGUAGCUAUUGAGGUGGCCACAAGAGGGCCACAGUGCAAGGGAGGGACCAGGAGGUGAGAAAUGUACAAGGGAGUUUGAUGCAUAAUGACUAUCAAUCUCUGAUAAUUCCAUCUGCAGAUCACUCAAAAAGUCUUUUGAAAUGGAGGGAGAGUGAAUGGAGAGUUUCAGGUAAAGGGAAAAAUAGAGAUACUCCUUUCCACUGUUCCCUUGCUAUUCUCUCAGUCAGAUAUUUAUAUUAUCA